GCCAUUAAAUUCCUCCUAUGUAGAAUCAUUGUGAUGAAGAAAGAGCCCAUUCAGAAUGUAUGUCAUGCUCAAAAACUUAAAUCUUCAGCCACAUUCCAGAGCGUCAGUACCACUUCUAUUAUGUUCACAUUAUUACUGAAGGAUUUUCAAUGUAUAAUUUACAAUGGACUGAAGGAAAAUUUCCUGCCAACUAUUAUAGAUGUUCGGCACUGAAACUGAAGAAGUGGCAUCAUUUAUCAGAUGCAGAUCAUGACAGGAGACAGAAACACAGUCACUCAGUAUAGGGGUGCCUAGAACCAGUAACCAGUGAGAUAAGCUGAUGUGUCUGUCAAGGGCCAGGCUAAUGCCUUUAGGUAAUGUGGAAAUUUGAAAAGAAUUCCUGAAACACUCAUUGUAACUGGUCUCUGUCAGAUUAAUAAAAAUGUGUUUCCUUUUAAAUUAUAAUUACAA